rnacentral:rRNA from 1 species
CCUACGGGAGGCAGCAGUGGGGAAUAUUGGGCAAUGGGCGCAAGCCUGACCCAGCAACGCCGCGUGAAGGAAGAAGGCUUUCGGGUUGUAAACUUCUUUUGACAGGGAAGAGUAGAAGACGGUACCUGUCGAAUAAGCCACGGCUAACUACGUGCCAGCAGCCGCGGUAAUACGUAGGUGGCAAGCGUUGUCCGGAUUUACUGGGUGUAAAGGGCGUGUAGCCGGGUUGACAAGUCAGAUGUGAAAGCCUGCGGCUUAACCGCAGAACUGCAUUUGAAACUGUUGCUCUUGAGUACUGGAGAGGGAGACGGAAUUCCUAGUGUAGCGGUGAAAUGCGUAGAUAUUAGGAGGAACACCAGUGGCGAAGGCGGUCUGUUGGACAGCAACUGACGGUGAGGCGCGAAAGCGUGGGGAGCAAACAGGAUUAGAUACCCUUGUAGUC